rnacentral:ncRNA from 2 species
GUUCCAGGAGCCCCAGUUACCGGGAGAGGCUGUGUCAAAGAAUGAAUGGAACGCCUACUAUGAGGAGGUGGUGUACGUCCUAGAGGAGAUCGAGUACAUGAUCCAGAAGCUCCCUGAGUGGGCCGCGGAUGAGCCCGUGGAGAAGACGCCCCAGACUCAGCAGGACGAGCUCUACAUCCACUCGGAGCCACUGGGCGUGGUCCUCGUCAUUGGCACCUGGAACUACCCCUUCAACCUCACCAUCCAGCCCAUGGUGGGCGCCAUCGCUGCAGGACACACAAUGGAGGGGAGGCUUCAGGUGUGGUCCUUGGGAGGGCAGAGCCUCUGGUGAAGUACCCUGGGCAUAGGCCUGGCUCGGUGUGCUCUGCAGGGAAC